rnacentral:piRNA from 1 species
UCAAACUUAACGUGUUUCCUC